rnacentral:rRNA from 1 species
UCCUUCUUUACCAAGCGUUGUUCGGAUUUACUGGGCGUAAAGGGCGCGUAGGCGGCGUGGUAAGUCACUUGUGAAAUCUCCGAGCUUAACUCGGAACUGCCAAGUGAUACUGCUGUGCUAGAGUGCAGAAGGGGCAACCGGAAUUCUUGGUGUAGCGGUGAAAUGCGUAGAUAUCAAGAGGAACACCUGAGGUGAAGACGGGUUGCUGGGCUGACACUGACGCUGAGGCGCGAAAGCUAGGGUAGCAAACGGG